CUACGGGGGGCUGCAGUGGGGAAUAUUGGACAAUGGGCGCAAGCCUGAUCCAGCAAUACCGCGUGUGUGAAGAAGGCCUGCGGGUUGUAAAGCACUUUCAAUUGUGAAGAAAAGCGAGGGCUUAAUACGCUCUUGUCUUGACGUUAACUUUAGAAGAAGCACCGGCUAACUCUGUGCCAGCAGCCGCGGUAAUACAGAGGGUGCGAGCGUUAAUCGGAAUUACUGGGCGUAAAGCGUACGUAGGCGGUUUAGUAAGUCAGAUGUGAAAGCCCUGGGCUCAACCUGGGAACUGCAUUUGAAACUGCUAGACUAGAGUGUGGUAGAGGGAAGUGGAAUUCCGGGUGUAGCGGUGAAAUGCGUAGAUAUCCGGAGGAACACCAGUGGCGAAGGCGACUUCCUGGACCAACACUGACGCUGAGGUACGAAAGCGUGGGUAGCAAACAGGAUUAGAUACCCUCGUAGUC
rnacentral:rRNA from 1 species